GCUGACUUUGCUGAGUUGAUGUUUUCUUCCCCAGUAUUGGGUGGAAUGAAAUCCCAUGUAUAAAAAUCAGGAAGGCCAGGAGCAAUGAGCCCAACAUCCAACUGGUCGCUGAAUACAUAGGAUGUCCCACUCUUUUCUAAAAACUUGACGCUGAUAUCAGCACUUUGUUCAGGAGCAACAAUCACCUGGUCAAGAAGAAAAAUGACAAAUUUAAUUUUCUAUGACAAGCCAUUAAGGCUCAGAAACUGAAUUUUUCUUCUGAACAUCUGGAUCCUCUAAAAAGCCAUUGUUGAGACUGACAUUCAUGCUAAGGAAAAUAUAAGAUAUGAAUCAAAACAAUAUUCAAGUUAAUGGGAAACUAUUUCUAAAUUCUGUUGAAAUUAGAAAGCUUACAAAAAUGUACGUCCUACUUUGGUUUCAACUUGUGAACUUCAUAUUCCCCAACCAUGUCAGCAUUUAUACACAUGUUGAAUUUGUUCUGUCUAUAGGCACAACAUAAACAGCACAGCCGGUGGAGCUCUUAGGACAUAGGAAGCCAGCCUUUAGUACUGGUGCAAUUUACGGCUGCAAAAGAUCCAGAACUUGUAUGGUGAAGGACUUCAUGGCAUGAUGGUCAUGGCAAGUGUCCUCAGAGAGAAAUAAUAGACUCUCUCUGAUCGCCACACCUCUAGAAAGGCACCACUGAGUGGACUGUGAUUUGGUUUUUCCCAAAAUGAGCACUUUUUACUUCUGCAUAGGCAGCCUUCCUAUUUUCCUUGAGAUCCAGCACCAUAACAAGCUCAUCUGAAAAAAAAAAUAAAGUCUUACUAUAGAACACUUGAGGCAUACAAUAUGUUAUGUAUCAAAUGCACUAAACAACUAUGCACAUUUAAAACAU
rnacentral:sRNA from 1 species